UACAGAGGGUGCUAGCGUUGUUCGGAAUGACUGGGCGUAAAGGGCGCGUAGGCGGUUUAUCAAGUCAGAUGUGAAAGCCCUGGGCUUAACCUAGGAACUGCAUUUGAUACUGGUUGACUGGAGUACGAGAGAGGAAAGUGGAAUUCCUAGUGUAGAGGUGAAAUUCGUAGAUAUUAGGAGGAACACCAGAGGCGAAGGCGGCUUUCUGGCUCGUAACUGACGCUGAGGCGCGAAAGCGUGGGGAGCAAACAGG
rnacentral:ncRNA from 2 species